rnacentral:lncRNA from 1 species
CGGGCUGGCCUGAGGAUGGGCUGCUCCUGAGCCGGGCCUGGUCACACGGAGACCGAAGACCUGGCCGCCGUUGUGAGCGGCCCCACCGCCCCCAGCUUGGAGGCCCGGGACUCCCAGCGUCGGAUCCCAGCCGCCCAGAGCCUGGAAGGCUGCUCCACCCGAGCCCGCGGGUGCUUGUCUGGCCAGGGCCCGGGGUGACCGCAGUGCUUCCUGGCCUUUUCCUCAGCCAGCGGCUGGGCAUGAGCACAAGCAGCCUCUCACCCCUGGGAGGCCCCCACGGGCCCCGCUGCCAUCCCCAGGCGAGGCCACGCUUCCUCCUUCAGGUCUCUGGGCGGGUCACCUCCCCAUGGAAGCUGCCAGAAGCCUCAGACCGCAGGCCCCUGCCCACACCAGCCAGGAGCCCGCCCGGGCACGGCCCAGCCCUUGUCCGCGCUAGCCACAGAUGGAUGGCCUGGCAGCAGCCCCUUCUACAGCAAGAAUCCUCACUGAGAGCCUCCUUCCCCCGACCCCGCGAGAUGUCACUACCUACUUCCACUCCGUGUCAGCCGCACGCAAGCACAGACACACAAACCAUGUGUGUGUGCCCGUGUGUCCGUCUGCAGGAUGCGUGUGCACAUGUGAACUCACGAGUGCGCCCGAGGCCGUGCUGUGCCUCGUGCACCCGUCGCACACGUGUGGAUACGAGCGCUGGGGGAGAGCCGGCAGAGGAGGCUGAGCACUUCUCCGUGGUCCCUGUACCUCUCUGCCUGGAGGCCUGGUUCUGUCUCAUUCUCGUUUCCCAGGAGGCCUCUCUGGGCCCCUUCCUGGCUGGCCUCAGGGCAUCCAAGUCGGGUGGUGUCUGCGCCGGCCCCUGCGUCCUGGGAGCGGCCAAGGCUGCUAGAAUGUGCUCUCCCCCAGCCUCUGCAGGCUUCUAGUCACACAAGGCGCCGGAGGCCAGCCUGCCUCUUUUUCCUUUGUCAGCAUCUGCUUUCUCAAUAAAGUUUUGAAAACCUCUUCUUUCCCCA